UGCCUACCACUGUAAAAACCACUGAAACAUGUACUGCUCUCCUCCACUCCUAUGCUAGUUUGAGACUAACUGAGAAGGCUGAAGACCUCUAUGAGAGAAUGAAAGAAGCAAAUCUUUCUCUAAAUACUGUCACGUAUAAUGAAAUGAUGACUUUGUACAUGUCUGUUGGACAGCUCGAGAAAGUACCUCUUAUUGUUGAGGAGAUGAAACUUCAAAAGGUUGCACCAGACCUAUUUACUUACAAUCUGUGGGUAAGUUCAUGUGCUGCAGCUCUAAACAUUGACGAGGUUAGACGGAUUCUUGAUGAAAUAAGUCGGGGCUCUGACUCUGGUGAACAGUGGAUAAGAUACAUGAACCUUGUUAACAUAUACAUCACCUCAGGUAACCUUGUAAACUCAGGGUUGAACUCUGUAGUUGAAUCUGAGAAGGGUAUCACACAAAGAGAAUGGAUAUCAUAUGACUUCCUUAUUAUUCUCUAUGGUGCAUUGGG
rnacentral:misc_RNA from 1 species